GAUGAACGCUGGCGGCGUGCCUAAUACAUGCAAGUCGAGCGAACGGACGAGAAGCUUGCUUCUCUGAUGUUAGCGGCGGACGGGUGAGUAACACGUGGAUAACCUCCCUAUAAAACUGGGAUAACUUCGGGAAACCGUAGCUAAUACCGGAUAAUAUUUUGAACCGCAUGGUUCAAAAGUGAAAGACGGUCUUGCUGUCCCUUAUAGAUGGAUCCGCGCUGCAUUAGCUAGUUGGUAAGGUAACGGCUUACCAAGGCAACGAUGCAUAGCCGACCUGAGAGGGUGAUCGGCCACACUGGAACUGAGACACGGUCCAGACUCCUACGGGAGGCAGCAGUAGGGAAUCUUCCGCAAUGGGCGAAAGCCUGACGGAGCAACGCCGCGUGAGUGAUGAAGGUCUUCGGAUCGUAAAACUCUGUUAUUAGGGAAGAACAUAUGUGUAAGUAACUGUGCACAUCUUGACGGUACCUAAUCAGAAAGCCACGGCUAACUACGUG
rnacentral:rRNA from 1 species